rnacentral:rRNA from 1 species
UACGGGGGGGGCAAGCGUUGUUCGGAAUUACUGGGCGUAAAGGGCGCGUAGGCGGCCUACUAAGUCGGACGUGAAAUCCCUCGGCUCAACCGAGGCAACUGCGUCCGAUACUGGCAGGCCUGGAAUCCGGGAGAGGGAUGUGGAAUUCCAGGUGUAGCGGUGGAAAUGCGUAGAUAUCUGGAGGAACACCGGUGGCGAAGGGCGGCAUCCUGGGACCGGUAU